rnacentral:rRNA from 1 species
GACGAACCGUGCGAACGUUAUUCGGAAUCACUGGGCUUAAAGGGCGCGUAGGCGGGCUGACAAGUCUGGGGUGAAAUCCCGCGGCUCAACCGUGGAACUGCCUCAGAUACUGUCGGCCUCGAGGAAGGUAGGGGCAUGCGGAACUGUAGGUGGAGCGGUGAAAUGCGUUGAUAUCUACAGGAACUCCGGUGGCGAAAGCGGCGUGCUGGACCUUUUCUGACGCUGAGGCGCGAAAGCUAGGGGAGCAAACGGG